CCUACGGGUGGCAGCAGUGAGGAAUAUUGGUCAAUGGGCGUACGCCUGAACCAGCCAAGUCGCGUGAGGGAUGAAGGUUCUAUGGAUCGUAAACCUCUUUUAUAAGGGAAUAAAGGGCGGGACGUGUCCCGUUUUGUAUGUAACUUAUGCAUAAGGCUCGGCUAACUCCGUGCCAGCAGCCGCGGUAAUAAGGAGGAUCCGAGCGUUUUCCGGGUUUAUUGGGUUUAAAGGGUGCGUAGGCGGCCUUGUAAGUCAGCGGGGAAAGUCGGUGGCUUAAACCUAGAAGUGCCGUUGAAACUGGGAGUCUUGAGUAUGUGUGAGGCAGGCGGAAUGCGUGGUGUAGCGGUGAAAUGCUUAGAUAUCACGCAGAACCCCGAUUGCGAAGGCAGCCUGCCAAGCCAUGACUGACGCUGAUGCACGAAAGCGUGGGGAUCAAACAGGAUUAGAUACCCUUGUAGUC
rnacentral:rRNA from 1 species